AGCAGCCGCGGUAAUUCCAGCUACAAUAGCGUAUAUUAAAGUUGUUGCAGUUAAAAAGCUCGUAGUUGAAUUUCGGGGUUAGUAGGUUGGUCAUGCCUCUGGUAUGUACUGGUCUCACUGAUUCCUCCUUCCUGAUGAACCUUAAUCCCAUUAAUUUGGUGUUUUGGGGAAUUUGGACUGUUACUUUGAAAAAAUUAGAGUGUUUAAAGCAAGCUAACGCUUGAAUACAUUAGCAUGGAAUAAUGAAAUAGGACGUUCGAUCCUAUUUUGUUGGUUUCUAGGAUUGACGUAAUGAUUAAUAGGGAUAGUUGGGGGCAUUAGUAUUCAAUUGUCAGAGGUGAAAUUCUUGGAUUAUUGAAGACCAACUACUGCGAAAGCAUUUGCCAAGGAUGUUUUCAUUAAUCAAGAACGAAAGUUAGGGGAUCGAAGACGAUCAGAUACCGUCGUAGUCUUAACCAUAAACUAUGCCGACUAGGGAUCGGACGAUGUUAAUUUUUUAAUGACUCAUUCGGCGCCUUAC
rnacentral:rRNA from 1 species